UAGUUUCUAGGCUGGACCAAGAGAUCGAGUCAGGCAAUAUAUUGUAUGUAUAGUAAAAUAAGCUGCUAGCUACUCCUAUAUACGUUGGAGUGUGUGUCUUGUAUAGCAGCAGCAUGGAUAAUAUAUCUUUACUACUGCUUAAUUUGCGUACCUACCUUCGUCCGUCCGUCGUCCCACCCCGCGCGCGCUCGCGAAAAAAACCUGUCCAACGCGCGGACGCGGCCCCGCGAUCAGAAAACCAGCCAAAGAAACCAACAGAUUUUUCGUCCAGUUCAUCUCGAGAGAAUUCCCCCGUCGCAGCGCGGCGCCGCGGCCCUCCCCUAUCUCCUCCUCCGGUGGCGGCGCUCCGUCGGUGCUCCGGCCGACGCGCAACUCCCUCCGACGGCGGAGCUCGGUGAUUUCGGUGAGGAGACGAGGAGGAGGAGGAGCUCUGCUGGUGUGGAGGAAGGCAGGGGCAGAGGAGGAGAACGACGACUGGAUCUCAACCGCGGAACCGGCCGCCCAACCACGGCGGCGGAACCUGCCGCUGCCGCACUCCACCGCGGAAGCAGCAGCAGCCACCCUCCAGUCGGCGAGCUCCAGCCCCAAGAGUUUUCCAUGGCUUCACAUUGCAUAUUUUGCUUCUUUGAAGUGAUUGCUCGGUUAUUCCAUUACAGCUCAGAGGAAGGGCUCUUGGAGAUAUCCAAGGCAAAUGUAGAAUGGUAAAAUACAAGGGGAUGCAAUAUUUCAAGUUCAAUGGCAGCUCUUUGCCUAGGCAGGUAUCAGCUUGCUCUGAGAUCGACCCAUCAGGGGGAGAUCAGAAGUAAAUUCUUGGAGAAACUAAUUGCACAGAAAUAGGUAAUAAAAGAUUAUCUGUGAGUCACCAAAGAAAAAAAAAGUAGGUAUAUAUUCCAUGCCGCUGCACCUACAAAAAAGAACAGCAGAUGUGGUUUGGUCAGUAGCUGAAAGAAACAUUAAGAAAACAUACCUGAAUGUUCAGAAGGAGUACUUUCAGCCUGCAGAAGUGCAGAUGGACAACAGCAUGUGUUAACAUACCUGUUUCUUUACCUAAAAAAAAACAUAAACUGUUUCCUGUCCCUGUUGUAGAUAUGCUCUUCUUUGUUCCAUUGCUAGAUUAUUUUUUGAAAAUAAUUUUAUUGUUUAUGUAGAGCACAGCUAUACAUAUCACCGAGCAAUGUGUAAAAAAUAUGUCAGCAAGGUCUUUAUUAUUUUUUAGAAUCAGUUGUACUAAAACCACGACAAAAAUUUAGGAACGGAGGGAGUACUUACAAAUAUACAUGAACCUUGGCUAGGCUGCUAGAGUAUCACAUGCCACUCAUAAAUCAUGAUUCCACAAGCCAUGUCCAAUUCAGAAUCAUGCAAAAGGCUGUCUGUGUUCAGGAAUAUGCUCAUUUCAGCAGAAAAAAAAUCAACUGGAGACAACUGAAGCAAGAGGAAGAACCAUGCAUAUUCUAUGAAGAAUACUGCCAUUAGUUCACCACAAUGAACAAGUUACAUAUGUGCCCCAUCCUCACCCAGAAAGACACAGAACAUCAGAAUAUUUUUUUCAGUGUGUUUUGGUUGAAAGACAGAUGCUAUAAAGGUUCUUUUCACUUCGUCAAGUAAAAUGUCUAAGGCGUGAUAUUCAACUAUUUGCUGAUGAUGUGUGCAAGCUACUUCAAUGGAUUUUUUUUUUGAGGCUGACAAUAUGCUAGGAUAGAUAGAAAGAUCAUCACAGGCUACAGAAACAAUCAAGGAGCAUAGUCAAGAAAGUAAGUACAAGUCUGGUUGUAGGCAGUGUCCUUGUAAUAUGAGAGACAUUCCUUUCUUUGUAAAUUUACAAUCGUGCAAUUAAAUUGAUAGGUAAAUUUUAAAUGAGUGGCACUUGGAUACAUAAUCUCAGCCACCGGACGAUCAAACGUUCUUCAAUUUGUGGUGUAUGUUUUUAGACCAGACCACAUCUUUGAAUAUUUGUUGUACAAUUUAAAGAGAAAGAAGUUGCUUCAUGCGUA